AUGCAGGAAUGGGUGCUCGACUCUGUAUGUAGUACCAGAAAACUUCACGCACUGAUCAGACAGCUACAUCCCUGCGAAGCAACAACGACGGACUGGGCACAGUGCUUGCUAUUGAGCCUGCCGAUAAAUCUCCUUUCCUGGGAGAUGUACGUUCUGGGUUCCAUCAAUCAUGUCUUGAGACAAACAUGUACAGAGCACCUGCAUUUCCUCGUAAGUUGGCAUCGACUGAUUAUCUUUUAG
rnacentral:rRNA from 1 species